CCGGCGAUGUCCGAAUGGGGAAACCCAGUGCAAUUCGUUGCACUAUCGUUAACUGAAUACAUAGGUUAACGAGGCGAACCGGGGGAACUGAAACAUCUAAGUACCCCGAGGAAAAGAAAUCAACCGAGAUUCCCCCAGUAGCGGCGAGCGAACGGGGAGCAGCCCAGAGUCUGAAUCAGCUUGUGUGUUAGUGGAACGGUCUGGAAAGUCCGACGGUACAGGGUGAUAGUCCCGUACACCAAAAUGCACAGGUUGUGAACUCGAAGAGUAGGGCGGGACACGUGGUAUCCUGUCUGAAUAUGGGGGGACCAUCCUCCAAGGCUAAAUACUCCUGACUGACCGAUAGUGAACCAGUACCGUGAGGGAAAGGCGAAAAGAACCCCGGCGAGGGGAGUGAAAAAGAACCUGAAACCGUGUACGUACAAGCAGUGGGAGCACCUUCGGGUGUGACUGCGUACCUUUUGUAUAAUGGGUCAGCGACUUAUAUUCUGUAGCAAGGUUAACCGUAUAGGGGAGCCGCAGGGAAACCGAGUCUUAACUGGGCGUUAAGUUGCAGGGUAUAGACCCGAAACCCGGUGAUCUAGCCAUGGGCAGGUUGAAGGUUGGGUAACACUAACUGGAGGACCGAACCGACUAAUGUUGAAAAAUUAGCGGAUGACUUGUGGCUGGGGGUGAAAGGCCAAUCAAACCGGGAGAUAGCUGGUUCUCCCCGAAAGCUAUUUAGGUAGCGCCUCGUGAAUUCAUCUUCGGGGGUAGAGCACUGUUUCGGCUAGGGGGUCAUCCCGACUUACCAACCCGAUGCAAACUACGAAUACCGAAGAAUGUUAUCACGGGAGACACACGGCGGGUGCUAACGUCCGUCGUGAAGAGGGAAACAACCCAGACCGCCAGCUAAGGUCCCAAAGUCAUGGUUAAGUGGGAAACGAUGUGGGAAGGCACAGACAGCCAGGAUGUUGGCUUAGAAGCAGCCAUCAUUUAAAGAAAGCGUAAUAGCUCACUGGUCGAGUCGGCCUGCGCGGAAGAUGUAACGGGGCUAAACCAUGCACCGAAGCUGCGGCAGCGACACUAUGUGUUGUUGGGUAGGGGAGCGUUCUGUAAGCCUGCGAAGGUGACCUGUGAGGGUUGCUGGAGGUAUCAGAAGUGCGAAUGCUGACAUAAGUAACGAUAAAGCGGGUGAAAAGCCCGCUCGCCGGAAGACCAAGGGUUCCUGUCCAACGUUAAUCGGGGCAGGGUGAGUCGACCCCUAAGGCGAGGCCGAAAGGCGUAGUCGAUGGGAAACAGGUUAAUAUUCCUGUACUUGGUGUUACUGCGAAGGGGGGACGGAGAAGGCUAUGUUAGCCGGGCGACGGUUGUCCCGGUUUAAGCAUGUAGGCUGGUUAUCCAGGCAAAUCCGGAUAAUCAAGGCUGAGGUGUGAUGACGAGGCACUACGGUGCUGAAGUAACAAAUGCCCUGCUUCCAGGAAAAGCCUCUAAGCAUCAGGUAACAUCAAAUCGUACCCCAAACCGACACAGGUGGUCAGGUAGAGAAUACCAAGGCGCUUGAGAGAACUCGGGUGAAGGAACUAGGCAAAAUGGUGCCGUAACUUCGGGAGAAGGCACGCUGGUGUGUAGGUGAAGCCCCUGCGGGUGGAGCUGAGACCAGUCGAAGAUACCAGCUGGCUGCAACUGUUUAUUAAAAACACAGCACUGUGCAAACACGAAAGUGGACGUAUACGGUGUGACGCCUGCCCGGUGCCGGAAGGUUAAUUGAUGGGGUUAUCCGUAAGGAGAAGCUCUUGAUCGAAGCCCCGGUAAACGGCGGCCGUAACUAUAACGGUCCUAAGGUAGCGAAAUUCCUUGUCGGGUAAGUUCCGACCUGCACGAAUGGCGUAAUGAUGGCCAGGCUGUCUCCACCCGAGACUCAGUGAAAUUGAACUCGCUGUGAAGAUGCAGUGUACCCGCGGCAAGACGGAAAGACCCCGUGAACCUUUACUAUAGCUUGACACUGAACAUUGAGCCUUGAUGUGUAGGAUAGGUGGGAGGCUUUGAAGCGUGGACGCCAGUCUGCGUGGAGCCAACCUUGAAAUACCACCCUUUAAUGUUUGAUGUUCUAACGUUGGCCCCUUACCGGGGUUGCGGACAGUGUCUGGUGGGUAGUUUGACUGGGGCGGUCUCCUCCCAAAGCGUAACGGAGGAGCACGAAGGUUAGCUAAUCCUGGUCGGACAUCAGGAGGUUAGUGCAAUGGCAUAAGCUAGCUUGACUGCGAGCGUGACGGCGCGAGCAGGUGCGAAAGCAGGUCAUAGUGAUCCGGUGGUUCUGAAUGGAAGGGCCAUCGCUCAACGGAUAAAAGGUACUCCGGGGAUAACAGGCUGAUACCGCCCAAGAGUUCAUAUCGACGGCGGUGUUUGGCACCUCGAUGUCGGCUCAUCACAUCCUGGGGCUGAAGUAGGUCCCAAGGGUAUGGCUGUUCGCCAUUUAAAGUGGUACGCGAGCUGGGUUUAGAACGUCGUGAGACAGUUCGGUCCCUAUCUGCCGUGGGCGCUGGAGAAUUGAGGGGGGCUGCUCCUAGUACGAGAGGACCGGAGUGGACGCAUCACUGGUGUUCGGGUUGUCAUGCCAAUGGCACUGCCCGGUAGCUAAAUGCGGAAGAGAUAAGUGCUGAAAGCAUCUAAGCACGAAACUUGCCCCGAGAUGAGUUCUCCCUGAGACUUUAAGUCUCCUGAAGGAACGUUAAAGACGAUGACGUUGAUAGGCCGGGUGUGUAAGCGCAGCGAUGCGUUGAGCUAACCGGUACUAAUGAACCGUGAGGCUUAACCUUACAACGCCGAAG
rnacentral:rRNA from 1 species